GAUGAACGCUGGCGGCGUGCCUAAUACAUGCAAGUCGAGCGAACAGAUAAGGAGCUUGCUCCUUUGACGUUAGCGGCGGACGGGUGAGUAACACGUGGGUAACCUACCUAUAAGACUGGAAUAACUCCGGGAAACCGGGGCUAAUGCCGGAUAACAUUUAGAACCGCAUGGUUCUAAAGUGAAAGAUGGUUUUGCUAUCACUUAUAGAUGGACCCGCGCCGUAUUAGCUAGUUGGUAAGGUAACGGCUUACCAAGGCAACGAUACGUAGCCGACCUGAGAGGGGGUACGCCCACCCUGGACCUGAACCCCGGUCCAGACUCCUACGGGGGGCAGCAGGAGGGAAUCUUCCGCAAAGGGCGAAAGCCUGGCGGAUCCACGCCGCGUGAGUGAUGAAGGUCUUCGGAUCGUAAACCUCUGUUAUUAGGGAAAAACAAAUGUGUAAGUAACUGUGCCCGUCUUGCCGGCACCUAAUCAGAACGCCCCGGCUAACUGCGG
rnacentral:rRNA from 1 species